GGCUGGGGCGGCACAUCUGUUAAAAGAUAACGCAGGUGUCCUAAGGGGGACUCAACGAGAACAGAAAUCUCGUGUAGAAUAAAAGGGUAAAAGUCCCCUUGAUUUUGAUUUUCAGUGUGAAUACAAACCAUGAAAGUGUGGCCUAUCGAUCCUUUAGAAUCUCAAGAUUUGAGGCUAGAGGUGCCAGAAAAGUUACCACAGGGAUAAC
rnacentral:rRNA from 1 species